GAUUUCUGGUGUGGUGCGCCGAGCCCGCCCCCUUUGGGGGUGAGUGCUUGCUGCGCGCCUACCAUACUUCAGGAGAGCACUGUACGGCCCUUCACUGGGUCGAGUGGUGGCCAUCCUGAUCGUUUACUUUGAAAAAAUUAGAGUGUUUCAAGCAGGCAUAUCGCUAUGAAUACAUUAGCAUGGAAUAAUAAGAUAGGACUUUGGUUCUAUUUUGUUGGUUUCUAGGACUAAAGUAAUGAUUGAUAGGGACAGUUGGGGGUGCUAGUAUUUAACGGCCAGAGGUGAAAUUCUUGGAUUCGUUAAAGACUAACUUAUGCGAAAGCAUU
rnacentral:rRNA from 1 species